ACGCAAGGCAGUUAUCUCAGUUUCACGAUGGCCCUGGCAGCCUCGUAGCGAGAUCCUCAGAAUGCUUUGCCAUCCUGAGAGCAGAGCUUCAUCUCCUAAACAGAGAGCAGGCUGAACGCCUUAUCUUCUGAGAACAAACCAUCGCCAGAACACAUAAUCAAGAGUUUGAGCUUCGCGGCCAAGCACCCAGUGCAGUCAGGCAUCCAGCCGGAAGAAAUCCAAAAAGUCCGUUUUCAAAGCUAAAGAAUAUCAGGUGACUCAGUUUUUUUAUUAGCCAAUUCAGCGAAACUUCAUUACAACUUUAUCAGAUCAUAUGGUCGACAUGAAAAUGGACAUGAUGUGCUGCAUGUCACUGUAUGAGGACAAUGAUAAAUGUCCAGAUACACAAAUUCUAGCGUACAUAUAGGACCUGAGACUGAAAAGUGGCAAACACUGAAAUGAGAUUGAUAUGCAGAGACAGGGGGCAGAGGACUCUUCCAGACACACAAGACAGAGUAAAUACUUACUGAAAGAAGUUACAAGCCACUGAACGAAUAGAAGUUGGGUUUGUUGGUUUUCAGGGAGGUCUAUUAACUUGAACAAACCAUGCCUGCUCUUUUGGUACUGAUUCACUUUGUUUCUGAAAUUAAUAGACUCCAUACCACGUUCUUUAAGGUGCUGCGAACACUGAGGCUCGUCACGUUAUAACACUCCCAGCAACUUCCCACAGGAAGGAUUGGGUUCUUCCCUUACUGUAAUGAUGUUUUGAUUUUAUUUCAGAAAUACAGAAGUUUUUAUAAGUU